UACAGAGGGGGCAAGCGUUGUUCGGAAUUACUGGGCGUAAAGCGUGCGCAGGCGGUUCGUUGUGUCCGUCGUGAAGCCCGGGCUUAACCCUGGGAACUGCGAUGGAAACUAGCGAGCUGGAGUGUGGCAGAGGGGGUGGGAAUUCCGCGUGUAGCAGUGAAAUGCGUAGAGAUGCGGAGGAACACCGAUGGCGAAGGCAGCCCUCCGUGGCUAACACUGACGCUCAGGCACAGAAAGCGUGGGGAGCAAACAGG
rnacentral:rRNA from 1 species